rnacentral:rRNA from 1 species
UACGUAGGGUACAAGCGUUAAUCGGAAUUACUGGGCGUAAAGCGUGCGCAGGCGGUGAUGUAAGACAGUUGUGAAAUCCCCGGGCUCAACCUGGGAACUGCAUCUGUGACUGCAUCGCUGGAGUGCGGCAGAGGGGGAUGGAAUUCCGCGUGUAGCAGUGAAAUGCGUAGAUAUGCGGAGGAACACCGAUGGCGAAGGCAAUCCCCUGGGCCUGCACUGACGCUCAUGCACGAAAGCGUGGGGAGCAAACAGG